rnacentral:lncRNA from 1 species
GUGUUGGUGAAGAUUUAUUAUUAUAUUGAAAAUAAAUAAACAAAAUAUAUUUUUGAUGUGAAUCCGUCGUAUUUUCUACCUCUCAUUAGCAUUACAAUGCAUUCAAAUACCUUUUAAUGAAGAAGAUUGACAAUCCUUCAUUUUACAUUCAACCAUUUUCACUUAUUGUUUUUUCUUAAUACUUAGCAAACAUACUUUUUGUUCUUACAUUUUUCUAUUUUCUAUCAUGUGAUAGAGAACAUAAUGAAAAUUAAGAAAACAUUUAUGUUCUAGAGUGUAUUUGUUUUCUGCCUUUAACAUAAUCGUAAUGUUAUAUUAAUAAAUAUAAAGAUCCAUAACAGUAUCACACGAGACUUUGUACAAAGAUAGACAACUCUAAUAUUCAUAAAGUUUUUAAAAAAUCCUUCAUAUGUUUUAUGAACAUUAAUGUAGCAACCAUUACAACAAUACUGCAUCGGAUGCACAUUUUGUCAGUUAAGAUCCCUUCGGUGAUGCUUGACGCCAAACCAUUUCAAUAUCUAACUUCUUUAAAAAAUACUAUUUUGAUAAAAUCGUAGCUAUUUGUUUUAAUUGAAUGAGUUUUCUAAAGACAAAUGGAACAUAUUGCACAAUAAAAUGCAACUAUUCGCUAAUUAUUCAUAAACUAUGACACGGACAUGCAUAAAACACAAUGACAUUUAAACCACUCCUAUUCCGGCUAUAUAAUUCUUAAAAACGAUAUGUUGAAAUUGUG